AGAGUUUGAUCCUGGCUCAGAACGAACGCUGGCGGCGUGGCUAAGGCAUGCAAGUCGAACGGACAUAUUUCAAGGGCAACUGCGAGGUAUGUUAGUGGCGAACGGGUGAGGAAUACAUGGAUAACGUACCCUAGACACGGGAAUAGCGGCGGGGCGAAAGCUCCUUUGCGAAAGUGCCGGUAAUACCCGAUGACCCCGCGGGAUCGCAUGGUUCUGCGGGCAAAUGCUCCGACGGUCUGGGAUCGGUUCAUGUCCUAUCAGCUAGUUGGUGGGGUAACGGCCUACCAAGGCGGCGACGGGUAGCGGGCGUGAGAGCGCGACCCGCCACAUCGGGACUGAGACACUGCCCGGACACCUACGGGUGGCUGCAGCAACGAAUAUUCCGCAAUGGACGCAAGUCUGACGGAGCGACGCCGCGUGUGGGAGGAAGUCCUUCGGGAUGUAAACCACUGUCAGGGGCAAGGAACAUUGACCAGCCCCAGAGGAAGCACCGGCUAACUCCGUGCCAGCAGCCGCGGUAAUACGGAGGGUGCGAGCGUUGUUCGAAAUUACUGGGCUUAAAGCGCGUGUAGGCGGGAAGGCAGGUGUCGGGUGAAAUCCCUCGGCUCAACUGAGGAACUGCCCGGCAAACUGCCUUUCUUGAGGCAGGGAGAGGUGACUGGAACGACGGGUGGAGCGGUGAAAUGCGUAGAUAUCCGUUGGAACGCCGGAGGCGAAAGCGGGUCGCUGGCCCUGUCCUGACGCUGAGACGCGAAAGCGUGGGGAGCGAACAGGAUUAGAUACCCUGGUAGUCCACGCCGUAAACGAUGCGCACUAGGUAUGGGGGGCUCUCACGCCAACCGUGCCGUAGAAAAAUUGAUAAGUGCGCCGCCUGGGGAGUACGGCCGCAAGGCUAAAACUCAAAGGAAUUGACGGGGGCUCACACAAGCGGUGGAGCAUGUGGAUUAAUUCGACGCGAAGAACCUUACCUGGGUUUGACAUGCACGGAUGCCCUCUUGGAAACAGGAGUAAGCUGCUUCGGUGAAACGUGCACAGGUGCUGCAUGGCUGUCGUCAGCUCGUGCUGUGAAGUGUCGGGUUAAGUCCCUCAACGAGCGAAACCCCUGUCGUUAGUUGCCAUCAGGUUAUGCUGGGGACUCUAACGAGACCGCCGGCGUCAAGCCGGAGGAAGGUGGGGACGACGUCAAGUCAUCAUGGCCUUUAUGCCCAGGGUUUCACACGUGCUACAAUGGUCGGUACAGAGCGAAGCGAGACCGCGAGGUGGAGCAAAUCGCACAAAGCCGGCCUUAGUUCAGAUCGGAGUCUGCAACCCGACUCCGUGAAGCUGGAAUCGCUAGUAAUCGCGCAUCAGCCAUGGCGCGGUGAAUGUGUUCCUGAGCCUUGUACACACCGCCCGUCAAGUCAUGGGAGCUGGGAGUACCCGAAGUCCGCUUAGCUAACUGC
rnacentral:rRNA from 1 species